CGCCCAGCAGCUAGCCUUAACCCACGCCUAAAAGAAACUACUAACCAGGCUAAAAGGACACCAACCCCACCCUAAAACAUUCUCCCCCCUAAGUAUAGGAGAUAGAAAAGGACACGAUGAGCAAUAGAGAAAGUACCGCAAGGGAAAGCUGAAAGAGAAGUGAAACAAACCAUGCAAGCCCUGAAAAGCAGAGAUUACACCUCGUACCUUUUGCAUUAUGAUUUAGCCAGACAAGCUUAGGCAGAGAGCUCUGCAGUCUAAGACCCCGAAACCGGGUGAGCUACUCCGGAACAGCCUAUAAAGAAGGGCACACCCGUCUCUGUCGCAAAAGAGUGGGAAGAUUCCUGAGUAGAGGCGAUAAACCUACCGAACCCGGUUAUAGCUGGUUGUCUGGGAUAUGAAUAGGAGUUCAGCCCCCUGGACCCACAGUCCAACAAAUACACAAGGGCCCCCACAGGCCCGGGGGAGUUAUUCAGAGGGGGUACAGCUCCUCUGAUAACAAGAUACAACUUUAAAAGGUGAGUAAGGAUCAUAACUUAUUAUAAGGCCUCGUGCUGUAGUAGGCCUGAAAGCAGCCAUCUAUGUAGAUAGCGUUAAAGCUCAAGCACAUUUAACCCACCCAUGCCGAUAGCUCAAUCCCAACCCCCUAACCCUACCAGACCAUUAUGUACUCUUACAUAAGUGAUUCUGCUAAUAUGAGUAAUAAGGGGCUCCAAACGGCCCCCUCCUGGCACACGUGUAUAGCGAAACGAACCCUCAUCGCCAACUAACGACGCCAAUACAAGAGGCAACUGGGCCACGAAUUAAACACUUAAAAGACCACCCAGUACACACACGUUGACCCCACACCGGAGUGCACCAAGGAAAGACUUAAUGAAGAAAAAGGAACUCGGCAAACUAGGGCCUCGCCUGUUUACCAAAAACAUCGCCUCCCGCGCACAUGAAAUGGGAGGUCCCGCCUGCCCCGUGACUAUACGUUUAACGGCCGCGGUAUUUUAACCGUGCAAAGGUAGCGCAAUCACUUGUCUCUUAAUUGGGGACCCGUAUGAAUGGCAUAACGAGGGCCCAGCUGUCUCUUUCUUCGAGUCAAUGAAAUUGAUCUUCCCGUGCAAAAGCGGGCAUGAACACACGGGACGAGAAGACCCUGUGGAGCUUGAAACAAUUGGGGAUUCAGAUCAAACACCCCUCCCAAGGGGACUAGCACGCUGACCCUUCCUCAUAUGUUUUCGGUUGGGGCGACCAAGGGAUACAACGGAACUCCCACGUGGAUUGGAGUACACUCCACAGCCAAGACCCGCUCGUUUAAGCACCAGAAUAUCUGACCUAUAGAUCCGGCAAAGCCGAUCAACGAACCAAGUUACCCCAGGGAUAACAGCGCAAUCCUCUUUUAGAGCCCUUAUCGACGAGGGGGUUUACGACCUCGAUGUUGGAUCGGGACUCCCUAAUGGUGCAGCCGCUAUUAAGGGUCUGUUUGUUCAACGGUUAAAGUCCUACGUGAUCUGAGUUCAGACCGGAGUAAUCCAGGUCGGUUUCUAUCUGUGAAAACACCUCUGCCUUGUACGAAAGGACCGGCAAAGGGGGGUCAAUGCUGCUAGUACACCCCGCCCCAAAUCGCUGACUACAACUAAAGUGAGUAAUGGGGCAGCCCCGUUAGCCGAAGAAUACGGCAC
rnacentral:rRNA from 1 species